rnacentral:rRNA from 1 species
GAUGAACGCUGACAGAAUGCUUAACACAUGCAAGUCGAUGGGGAAGUGGUGCUUGCACCAUGGCAACCAUGGCGGACGGGUGAGUAACGCGUAAGGGACUUACCUGCAGGACUGGGAUAACAGGGGGAAACUCCUGACAAGACCGGAUAAUGUCAUGGAGCUGCAUGGCUUUAUGAUGAAAGGAGACGCCUGCGGAGAGCCUUGCGUCCUAUUAGCUAGUUGGUGAGGUAAUGGCUCACCAAGGCGGAGAUGGGUAGCCGGCCUGAGAGGGUGGAGGGCCACAAGGGCACAGAGAUACCGCCGUUACUCCUACGGGAGGCAGCAGUGGAAAAUAUUGGACAGGGGGGGCGACCCUGAUACAGCAAUUCUGUGUGCAAGAAGAAGGUUUUCGGAUUGUAAAGUGCUUUCAGGAGGGAAGAAGUAAGUGACGGUACCUGCAGAAGAAGCGACGGCUAAAUACGUG